rnacentral:snRNA from 1 species
GUGCUUGCUUCGGCAGCACCUAUACUAAAGGAACAAUACAGAGAAGAUUAGCAUGGCCCCUGUGCAAACAUGACACGCAAAUUCAUGAAGCAUUCCAUAUUUUU